UCCGUAGGUGGAUAAUUAAGUCAGAGGUGAAAGCCCGCAGCUCAACUGUGGAAUUGCCUUUGAUACUGUUAGACUUGAAUCAGGUUGAGGUUGGCGGAAUGUGGCAUGUAGCGGUGAAAUGCAUAGAUAUGCCAUAGAACACCAAUUGCGAAGGCAGCUGACUAGACCUGUAUUGACGCUGAGGCACGAAAGCGUGGGGAGCGAACAGGAUUAGAUACCCUGGUAGUCC
rnacentral:rRNA from 1 species